rnacentral:lncRNA from 1 species
GGAAGUGCAAAGAAUAGCUCCCAUGUCAGUGGAUCCUUGGGGAAGAUCAGCAUUCUAGAACUGUAGCUUAUUUCAAGAUACAUCUUGAAGCUCUCAGCUGAGAUGAAAAGAUUGGGGGCAGAGGUGAAGAAGAGGGGUCACCCCAAAGAUGAAAAUAAGAUCAUAAAAGUUGACUUGGGAUGGAGCAACUGAAAUGAAAGAGCCUAACCUGGAGUGGCAGGGGAGUGUUUGUUGCUGCCAAGAGUGUUUAGCAGGCCCACUUACAAGCUGGCUGGAAUGUCAGAGGCGACUAGCAGUUCCAACAUGUCUCAAGGGCAAUGACUGCAUGGAGUCCAAAGUAGGUGAGUCAAUGGAGUUCCCUGGUGGCUCAUCAGGUUAAGGAUCCAGCAUUGUCACUGCUGUGGCUCAGGUUGCUGCCAUGGCACGAGGUUCAAUCCCUAGCCUGAGAACUGCCUGCCUCAGGCAUGGCCAAAAACAAAAAAGUGGGUGAGAACGCUGUAAACCAGCUAUAAUGUAAAAGAAUAAAAAUUAUUAAAAAAAAAAAAAAGUGGGUGAGACAAAGGCCACGGUGGCUCUUGUGGACAGGCAUCUCAGGGUUUCACAGUUUGACAUAUGGUCUAGCUCCUUGUUUGAAUUUGUACUGACCAGAAGAAUAUUCAUUGCAGCAUUGUGUGUCAAAUGUACAAUAUUAGAAACAACCUAAAUGUUUAUACAUAGGAGAACAGUUGAAAAUAUCAUGGUAUGUCACACAAUGGAGGAAAAUGCACAUCAACCCAAAAAAGCUGAAGAACUGAUCUGCUGCUCCUACAUGAGAAAAAAGCAAAGUGCAAAAGAAUAUCGAGAGUAAGAAACCCUUCAUGUAAGAAAGAAGGAAAUAUAAGGAAACACACAUGUAGCUGCUAAUUUUUACAAAAUGAAGAAUAAACCAAAAACGAAACCUUCAGAGGACAAGUGGAAAAGUCAGAAGAGAGGAAUCAGAACAGGUUUGCAGGGAUGCAGAAGGAGCAGCAUCUCUCUGAGUGUCCCUCUGGAAUAGCCUUGGCUCUUGGAACCAUAGUGCUGCUUCCCACACCCUCCAAAUAAAAAUGAAAGUCAACCAGGGUGUCGUGUGAGUGAAGGAGGAACCCCAAGUAGGAACCAGUUACAAUCGCACCUAACUAUUCCAAACGAGAACAUAACCACACUGCAGGGAACUGGGGAGAAAAGAAUUAAGUAAGGGGAAAUUAUGAUUCUGACUUGGUACUGGAAGGUUAAGACAGAAAGAACUGCACAAAUAAACUAAGUAGUAAAUCUGUUGCCCACAGAGGAAUGAGUUAACAGUUCUGUCCUUUUAUGUGUAUAGGAGGACUGAACAUAUGCACUGAAUAUAUGGUGGAUGAGGAGAGCCGGUUUCACACACCACGACGCAAAACACACCCUGAGGUGACCCCUAGUGAGUCACAGAUUCUGGAUUACCUUCCCCUUCAGUGAAGGGUGAACCAGUGGUUACUUGUAACCAAUAGAUUUAUGACAGAGGUGCAGGGAGGGACUUUGCAGAUGUAAUUAAAGUCCCUAAUCAGCUGAUUUCAGGACGAUAAGAUUGGGACUGACCAAUCAGGCAGGGCAUUUGAAAGAGAGUCCAGAGGUCACAGACUUGAAACAUUUGAGACUUUCCAUUGCUGGAUUUGAAAAAACAAGCUGCUAUCAAUUCUUUAGCCACAAAGAAAUGGCUCUGCCAACAACACAAGGCAAUGUGAAGGCAGAGUCUCCUCAGUCAAACCUCCAGAUGAGAAGGCAGCAGAGAACCCAGCUGCUGUGCCAGACUUCUGACUUACACAAACUGAAAUAAUAAAGGCGUGUUGUUUUUAGCCACUAAAUUUGUAGUAACAUGACGCAGUAUAGAAAAUGAAUUACACUGUUGGAGAAAGAAGUUACAACUAAGGAAAUGGGGAAGACUGGAAUAGGCUCUAUGGUGCUGGAAUGGAAGGUGUCGGGGUGAACUGAUUUUUAAUGUACAGACAGAUAAAUAGGGAAAUACAUGUAGAUGUGUAUGUGUGCUAAUGUUCACACAAAUACACGCACACUUCCUUGAGAGUGCCCCUGAGAGUGUCGGUGACAAUACCUAGCACCCAGAGAUGGUGCCUAGACUGUUUCUGCAAUAAGAAGAACCAGAGCUCCUUGAAGAAGUGGUUCAUUCCAGGGCUGGGCAAGGAAUGCUAAAGAUGAUUUUGGGACAUCUUGGGGAGCCAGAAAAUAAAUCUUUAAAAAAGAAUAGGGGGGGAGUUCCCAUCAUGGCUCAUCGGAUUCAUGAACCACUGUGCCAUGACGGGAACUUCGUACCAGAACUUUCUUUACAGCAUCUUUUCAACAGCCAGAAGCUGGAAACAACCCCGCUAUCACCAGUGGUAGACUGGAUAAAUUGUGGUGCCCUCAUGCAAUGGACUGCUCUGUAACAGUGUGAGUGAACAACCUGUAGUCGUGCAUAUCAACAGAGAUGAGUCUUAAAGUAUUUGAAGAGAGUUCCUGUCGUGGCUCAGAGGAAACGAACCGACUAGUAUCCAUGAAGAUUCGGGUUUGAUCCCUGGCCCCGCUCAGUGGGUUAAGGGUCUGGCGUUGCCGUGAGCUGUGGUGUAGAUCAUGGAGGGGGCUUAGAUCCCGAGUUGCUGUGGCUGUGGUGUAAGCCAGCAGCUACAGCUCCAAUGCAAACCCUAGCCUGGGAAUUUCCCUAUGCGGGUGUGGCCCUAAAAAGAAAAAGAAAAAAGAAAAA